rnacentral:tRNA from 1 species
ACUUAAAUAGCUUAUAUUAGAGCGUAAUAUUGAAGAUAUUAAUGAAAUUAAAUUAAUUUUUAAGUG